GAACGCUGGCGGCAUGCUUUACACAUGCAAGUCGAGCGGCAGCGCGGGGGCAAACCCGGGCGGCGAGCGGCGAACGGGUGAGUAAUGCAUCGGAACGUGUCCCGUAUGGGGGAUAACGCCGCGAAAGCGGCGCUAAUACCGCAUACGCUCUACGGAGGAAAGUGGGGGACCUGCAAGGGCCUCACGUUAGGGGAGCGGCCGAUGUCCGAUAGCUAGUUGGUGGGGUAAUGGCUUACCAAGGCGACGAUCGGUAGCUGGUCUGAGAGGAUGAUCAGCCACACUGGGACUGAGACACGGCCCAGACUCCUACGGGAGGCAGCAGUGGGGAAUUUUGGACAAUGGGGGCAACCCUGAUCCAGCCAUGCCGCGUGCGGGAAGAAGGCCUUCGGGUUGUAAACCGCUUUUAGCCGGGAAGAAAAGGCUUGGGCUAAUACCCUGAGUUUUUGACGGUACCGGCGGAAUAAGCACCGGCUAACUACGUGCCAGCAGCCGCGGUAAUACGUAGGGUGCGAGCGUUAAUCGGAAUUACUGGGCGUAAAGCGUGCGCAGGCGGUUCGUUGUGUCGGUGGUGAAAGCCCCGGGCUUAACCUGGGAAUGGCCAUGGAAACUGGCGAACUGGAGUGUGGCAGAGGGGGGUGGAAUUCCGCGUGUAGCAGUGAAAUG
rnacentral:rRNA from 1 species